AUGAGGGCUGCCACUCAGCUCCUGGAGUUGUUGCUGCUCUGGCUUACAGGUGCCAAAUGUGACAUCCAGAUGACCCAGUCUCCAGGUUCCCUAUCUAAAUCUCUGGGAGAAAGUGUCACCAUCACAUGUCUGGCAAGUCAGAGCAUUGGUUGGAGUUUAGCAUGGUAUCAGUAUAAACCAGGGAAACUGAAACCUCCUAAGCAACUGAUCUAUGGUUCAAACCGCUUGGCAGAUGGGCUCCCCUCAAGAUUCAGUGGCAGUGGAUCUGACGCACAAUUUUCUCUCAAGAUCAGCAUCCUGCAGGCUGAAGAUGUGGCACCUUAA